CCUACGGGAGGCAGCAGUGGGGAAUUUUGGACAAUGGGGGCAACCCUGAUCCAGCCAUGCCGCGUGCGGGAAGAAGGCCUUCGGGUUGUAAACCGCUUUUGUCAGGGAAGAAACGCGCUGAGCUAAUACCUCGGUGUAAUGACGGUACCUGAAGAAUAAGCACCGGCUAACUACGUGCCAGCAGCCGCGGUAAUACGUAGGGUGCAAGCGUUAAUCGGAAUUACUGGGCGUAAAGCGUGCGCAGGUGGUUGUGCAAGACAGAUGUGAAAUCCCCGGGCUUAACCUGGGAACUGCAUUUGUGACUGCACGGCUCGAGUGUGGCAGAGGGGGAUGGAAUUCCGCGUGUAGCAGUGAAAUGCGUAGAUAUGCGGAGGAACACCGAUGGCGAAGGCAGUCCCCUGGGCCUGCACUGACACUCAUGCACGAAAGCGUGGGGAGCAAACAGGAUUAGAUACCCGAGUAGUC
rnacentral:rRNA from 1 species